UCCUCCAAGCUCAGAUUGAGGAAUUGUCAGACCUAGUACAUUUGGGUUGUGUUGAUCAUCGUGCACAUUUACGUAUAACAUCUCUCAGAUUUAAUGAUUCCAGGAAUACCUCUCAAAUUAUUGGACAGUACCUGGCCGGAAACUGGUCCAUGGAAGCAGAGAAGUUGAUCCAGACCCAACUGACACAAAUUGCCAUGUUGAACAACACUCGUGUAGACCCUGUGACAUUGGGCCAAUUUACGAAUUGGCUGUCUUCUGCUUUUUCUUUCUUUAAGGAAUGGGUAGGAGUAGGCAUUUUUGGAGCGAUGUGUUGUUUUGGGGUUGUCCUUUGUCUGUGGCUUUUCUGUCGCCUAAGAGCUCGCCAUAGCCAAGAAAAGGCUAUGAUGGUCCAGGCUUUUGCAGCCCUAGAGAAUGGUAUCUCUCCAAAAGUUUGGCUUGCGCAACUUAAGCAAUAAUUUCCUGGGUUUUGGCCAUUGCACCCCAAGUUAUCUUUGACAUUGCACUGGGAUUGGCAUGCCCUCCUCUUCCUGCUUUCCCAGUUAUGGAAGGCCCAUGCACUCUGCAGGCCUUGUUGCCAUUGCACGCAGGUGGGCUUCCAUGCUGGUGCUGCACUUUAUGCUUUGGACCCUUCGUUUUCUCAGGGGCUGAGAGACGGUGUUGCCACUUCCAACCUCAUAGUCACUGACCGGCUACUUGUAAAAUCCCUCUUCCUUUUUGCCGUCAUCACGAUGCAGGAUGCGAGGCAAGGCACUGCACUUGAGUGAUCCGGUCUCCGGACCUCAAGGGAAGCAUGUCCUAUUGCAUACGGGUUUGACGUCCACGCCCCGUCCCACGAAAAAAGGCGUCAGCUGAUAUGGUGUCAGAUCUAGGGAAGGCGCCUCCUUGGGACUGAGCCAUACUUUGCAGCCAUGUUUGCACAGUGGGAUAGGACCUCUACUUUCGCCUGCAUUAAUUUUUAAGAAAUAAGGGGGAACUGUGGUGAGCCCUGUUUGUAGACCGCUGCCGCCACUAGAUGAUAGCGCCGGUCU
rnacentral:lncRNA from 1 species